AGUGAACGCUGGCGGUAGGCCUAACACAUGCAAGUCGAACGGCAGCACAGUAAGAGCUUGCUCUUACGGGUGGCGAGUGGCGGACGGGUGAGGAAUACAUCGGAAUCUACUUUUUCGUGGGGGAUAACGUAGGGAAACUUACGCUAAUACCGCAUACGACCUGCGGGUGAAAGCAGGGGAUCUUCGGACCUUGCGCGAUUGAAUGAGCCGAUGUCGGAUUAGCUAGUUGGCGGGGUAAAGGCCCACCAAGGCGACGAUCCGUAGCUGGUCUGAGAGGAUGAUCAGCCACACUGGAACUGAGACACGGUCCAGACUCCUACGGGAGGCAGCAGUGGGGAAUAUUGGACAAUGGGCGCAAGCCUGACCCAGCCAUACCGCGUGGGUGAAGAAGGCCUUCGGGUUGUAAAGCCCUUUUGUUGGGAAAGAAAAGCAGCAGGUUAAUACCCCGCUGUUCUGACGGUACCCAAAGAAUAAGCACCGGCUAACUUCGUG
rnacentral:rRNA from 1 species